UAGGGAAUUUUCGGCAAUGGGGGAAACCCUGACCGAGCAACGCCGCGUGAAGGAAGAAGUAAUUCGUUAUGUAAACUUCUGUCAUAGAGGAAGAACGGUGCGUGUAGGGAAUGACAUGCAAGUGACGGUACUCUAUAAGAAAGCCACGGCUAACUACGUGCCAGCAGCCGCGGUAAUACGUAGGUGGCGAGCGUUAUCCGGAAUUAUUGGGCGUAAAGAGGGAGCAGGCGGCACUAAGGGUCUGUGGUGAAAGAUCGAAGCUUAACUUCGGUAAGCCAUGGAAACCGUAGAGCUAGAGUGUGUGAGAGGAUCGUGGAAUUCCAUGUGUAGCGGUGAAAUGCGUAGAUAUAUGGAGGAACACCAGUGGCGAAGGCGACGAUCUGGCGCAUAACUGACGCUCAGUCCCGAAAGCGUGGGGAGCAAAUAGG
rnacentral:rRNA from 1 species